rnacentral:snRNA from 1 species
UUUUAGAUGCAGUAUAUAUCACC